GAUCUGAAAACAUCCCACGGGAUAUCUUUAGCAAGUCAUAGGAUACCUAGACAAACAGUAACCCUUGGCAAAACACAGGGUACCUGAACAAAACACAGGGUACCUGAACAAAACAUAGGAUACCUAAACAAAACACAGGAUACCUGAACAAAACACAGGGUACCUGAACAAAACACAGGGUACCUGAACAAAACACAGGGUACCUGAACACAUUACGGGAUACCUAAA